rnacentral:rRNA from 1 species
CCUACGGGUGGCUGCAGUGGGGAAUAUUGCACAAUGGGGGGAACCCUGAUGCAGCCACGCCGCGUGAGUGAUGAAGUAUUUCGGUAUGUAAAGCUCUAUCAGCAGGGAAGAAAGUGACGGUACCUGACUAAGAAGCUCCGGCUAACUACGUGCCAGCAGCCGCUGUAAUACUUAGGGGGCAAGCGUUAUCCAGGUUUACUGGGUGUAAAGGGAGAGUAGGGGGGUAAUCAAGUCAGAAGUGAAAACCCAGGGCUCAACCUUGGGAAUGCUUUUGAAACUGCGUAGCUAGAGUGUAGGAGAGGGAAGCGGAAUUCGUAGGGUAGCGAUGAAAUGCGUAGAUAUUAGGAGGAACACCAGUGGCGAAGGCGGCUUACUGGACUGUAACUGACGUUGAGGCUCGAAAGCGUGGGGAGCAAACAGGAUUAGAUACCCCUGUAGUC